GACGAACGCUGGCGGCGUGCUUAACACAUGCAAGUCGUACGGUAAGGCCCUUUCGGGGGUACACGAGUGGCGAACGGGUGAGUAACACGCGAGUAACCUGCCCACAACUUUGGGAUAACGCUAGGAAACUGGUGCUAAUACUGGAUAUGUGCUCCUGCUGCAUGGUGGGGGUUGGAAAGCUCCGGGGGUUGUGGGUGGACUCGCGGCCUAUCUGCUUGUUGGUGGGGUAGUGGGCUACCAAGGCGGGGACGGGUAGCCGGCCGGGGGGGGUGACCGGCCACAUUGGGGCUGGGGUACGGCCCAGACUCCUACGGGGGGCAGCAGUGGGGAAUAUUGCACAAUGGGCGCGAGCCUGGUGCAGCAACGCCGCGUGCGGGAUGGCGGCCUUCGGGUUGUAAACCGCUUUCAGCAGGGACGAAGCUUUUUGUGACGGUACCUGCAGAAGAAGCACCGGCUAACUACGUG
rnacentral:rRNA from 1 species